GACGAACGCUGGCGGCGUGCUUAACACGUGCAAGUCGAACGGAAAGGCCCUGCUUUUGUGGGGUGCUCGAGUGGCGAACGGGUGAGUAACACGUGAGUAACCUGCCCUUGACUUUGGGUUAACUUCAGGAAACUGGGGCUAAUACCGGAUAGGAGCUCCUGCUGCAUGGUGGGGGUUGGAAAGUUUCGGCGGUUGGGGAUGGACUCGCGGCUUAUCAGCUUGUUGGUGGGGUAGUGGCUUACCAAGGCUUUGACGGGUAGCCGGCCUGAGAGGGUGACCGGCCACAUUGGGACUGAGAUACGGCCCAGACUCCUACGGGAGGCAGCAGUGGGGAAUAUUGCACAAUGGGCGGAAGCCUGAUGCAGCAACGCCGCGUGCGGGAUGACGGCCUUCGGGUUGUAAACCGCUUUCGCCUGUGACGAAGCGUGAGUGACGGUAAUGGGUAAAGAAGCACCGGCUAACUACGUG
rnacentral:rRNA from 1 species